CACGAGGGUUAUACUGUCUCCUUUCUCCAAUCAGUGAAACUGAUCUCUCCGUGAAGAAGCGGAGAUAAACUUAUAAGACGAGAAGACCCCAUGGAGCUUUAAACCCAGCAAUUACACCUGUUUAAGUAUACCCCUAUAAAUAACAGAACCCUACUUGUCUGGUUUUAGGUUGGGGUGACCGCGGAGCACAAAUCAACCUCCAUGAUGAAUGGGCUAACCCCCUUACCCAAGAGCCACACCUCUAAGAAUUAGUAAUCUAACAUAAACUGAUCCGAUCAUCGAUCAACGAACCAAGUUACCCUGGGGAUAACAGCGCAAUCCACUUUAAGAGCCCCUAUCGACAAGUGGG
rnacentral:rRNA from 1 species